rnacentral:miRNA from 1 species
GUCAGGGCUGGGCUGGGCUGGGCUGAGCCCGGAGCUGGGGGCUCCCUGCUGCUGCUCCCGCCUGCCUGCCUUCCUGC